rnacentral:tRNA from 1 species
GGAGAGGUAGUGAAGAGGCUAAACGCGGCGGACUGUAAAUCCGCUCCUUCGGGUUCGGGGGUUCGAAUCCCUCCCUCUCCA